rnacentral:lncRNA from 1 species
AGAGUCAAUAUACUAUUCUUAUGAUUCUAAACUCUCAUCAAUCUCUACAUGGUAUUAGAGCCACAAUGAUCUAACGAUCGGCUCCGUUCCUGAAUCUAAGCCAAGAGCUUUUUCUUUUUAUUUUUGUGUUUAAGCCAAGUGCUUCCAACAUUCAAGUUCAUCAUGAACCUCUGAAUCUAAGCAAAAAUGCUUCUAAUCAUUCAAGUCUAACCAUAGACCUCUGAAUCAAGCCUAAGUGCUUCUAAAAUCAAGCCAAAGUGCUUCUUUUAAUUUUUUUUUUUUCUGCAAUUUAAAAAAAAAAAAAAAUUUCCGUUUUAUAUCUUCAAAAUAUCUUUGUUUUUUAUUUUAUUAAAAAAAAAAAAUAACAACAACAAAAAAAAAAAAAUCAUCGUGGUCUUCUUCUUCAAGACAAGGUUCAUCACCUUUUGUGGCGUCGUCCACCACCACACCACCUUGAUCUGACCUACCUUGCUUCACUCAACGUUCAUUUCUCGAGACAAGGUUCCUCGAUCUCCGCUGCACCUUCAACAUGUCGGCGUGGGCAAUUCACGUUGACAUUUUUCUCAACGCCUAGUCAUCUCGUCUUCGCAACUUCUCGGUUUCUUCACUAUUUCUAUUUUGCAAGUCAAUCUCAAGCUGUUCAUUCCGACGUUCUCCAUCACCGCCUUGAGAUUGAGGGAGCGUAUAGAAGGAUCUAAAAUAAUCUAGAAUAUCUUUAAAUAUAUUUCUAAUAAUUAUCUCAUUUAUGUAUUUGUGUAUAUUAGGAAACUAGAUUAAUUAGGUUUACCUUUCUCUUCUUUAUAUAAACAUAUGUUUCAUAACCUUUAUCAUUAUGAGAGUUAAUAUACAAUUCUUCCAAUCUCUAUCUCUCAUCACAUUAUCAUAAUAAAG